CGGGUGCCCUGGCUCAAGUUCUCAUUUCCAAUACAGUUUGAGAACCUUGUAUCGGAGAUAGGACUUGAUACCAGUUUGCCCG
rnacentral:pre_miRNA from 1 species